CUUGUUGCUAGGGACCGGGCGGUUUGCGGCAACCGUGGGCACUGCUGAAUUUGAAUUGAGGGGCGAGGGAAAAGUUUUCCUCAGGUGUGGUGGGGAGAGGGAGGCGGAUGCCGGGAAACCGUAGGGACGCGGUCAGAAAGGCGACGGGCUGUCGGAGUUGGAAAGCCCGGACUCCCUUCCCUUCCCUUCCAGGGACGCCUGGUUUCCCCCCAAGCGAACCGGGAUGGGAAGUGACUUCAAUGAGAUUGAACUUCAGCUGGAUUGAAAGAGAGGCUAGAAGUUCCGCUUGCCAGCAGCCUCCUUAGUAGAGCGGAAUGAGUAAUACCCACACGGUGCUUGUCUCACUUCCCCAUCCGCACCCGGCCCUCACCUGCUGUCACCUCGGCCUCCCACACCCGGUCCGCGCUCCCCGCCCUCUUCCUCGCGUAGAACCGUGGGAUCCUAGGUGGCAGGACUCAGAGCUAAGGUAUCCACAGGCCAUGAAUUCCUUCCUAAAUGAGCGGUCAUCGCCGUGCAGGACCUUAAGGCAAGAAGCAUCGGCUGACAGAUGUGAUCUCUGAACCUGAUAGAUUGCUGAUUUUAUCUUAUUUUAUCCUUGACUUGGUACAAGUUUUGGGAUUUCUGAAAAGACCAUACAGAUAACCACAAAUAUCAAGAAAGUCGUCUUCAGUAUUAAGUAGAAUUUAGAUUUAGGUUUCCUUCCUGCUUCCCACCUCCUUCGAAUAAGGAAACGUCUUUGGGACCAACUUUAUGGAAUAAAUAAGCUGAGCUGUAUUUCAAGUAAUAUAGUUAUAAAUUAACAAUGUAGCAGUUAUUGAUAGAGAAAUUGAGAAAACUGAAACGUGACCGGAGUAUUGGAAAUAACGUAGUACAUCACCUAGCACAAUGACACAUAGUAGGUGCUCAAUAAAUUUAUGCUUAUAAUUUUUGUCACUUCUAUGGCAGGAUUUUUUUAUUAGGUUAAAAUUAUCUUUUAAACACCUUCCGGAAUUUUAGAAUAUUCAUUAAUAAUGUCUUCAAACCUUUCAACUGAAAUAAAUUUACAGCUGAAGUCUGAUGAUUUAAAGUUAGAAAGUUUAAUCUUGAAUAUAAAUGAACAUUUUCUCUCCCACAUUUUCUUGGGCAUUUUGAGAAGUAAAUGCGUUAUUUAUUGGUCCAUGAAAUGUGACUGUAAAUAUUCUUUGCUAUACAUUAUGUCUAUAUAUCUGCAUUCAUCCUCAAUGCCAAAACUAGAAUCAUUAGUCUUAAUGAUCAUUUUAAGUACAGGCAGUCCUCGCUUUCCUUGAUACCAUGUUAACCGAAACUUGUGUAUGUCAACACGGUGUCCUUGCUUUGCUUGGUUAAGUGUGAGUUCUUCCUCCCUUUUUUUAAGAGUUGUACAAUGUUUUUCAGUCGCCUACCGAAUCAGGUCAUAGACUAUGGAAUUGACCCCACCCCACCAACAUUUUUACAGCUACCCUGAUUUCUGACCAGAAAGGAAAAAAAAACUUUCCAGCUCUAUCACACAUUUUACCUACUCUUAAACUUAGGAGGUAUUACAAAUAGCAUUUUCUCAUGUUCUCUUUCUGGCCUGUACCUCCCUGCUAAGCUUCCUUCAGUGUUCAUCCUCACCUCAUAGAGAGAUGAAGUGAAGAGACAAACAGAAGUCAUUUUCUUCCUUACUUUAGUGGUUUCUGGUUUAGUUAGUUUGGGCCAAACUGUGGACAAGUACCUUUUCAGGUAACUUUUUUUUCUUAUUUCUAUGUCCUCAACACCUAGUGGAGUACGUAGCCAAUAGUAGAUGCUUAAUAAACAUUUCUUAAAUUAAUAUUGUUGACCUUUUCUGACCCUGUUCUUGACAGUAAGGUACAUAAUCUGCCUUCAUCCCUUUAGUCCUUAGGAACAGAUAAAGUCAUGGAUAUGAAAGUGAUCACUGUCAUUAAUAUCCACAUUAAAAUUGCUCUUGAUUUUAGUUUCUCCAUAAUCAUUUUCCCUAAACAAUGAACUCUGUUCACCUUUUUUUUUAAAAUAUGCACAGUGAAUAUUACUGGUAGCCCAAAUCUUCUAACAUAAAAUUUCCAUUUUGUAAAAGCUUCUGAUAAGCAUAUAUGUUAUGAAUUGAAUGUUUGAUUAUUAUACUUUAAUAUUCUUGAAAAUAUUGAUACCUGGACUGGAAAGAAAACAGACAAAAGUAAAUCUCAGAAUAAAUUACUGCUUUAAACAUG
rnacentral:lncRNA from 1 species